CCUACGGGAGGCAGCAGUGGGGAAUUUUGGACAAUGGGCGCAAGCCUGAUCCAGCUAUUCCGCGUGUGGGAUGACGGCCUUCGGGUUGUAAACCACUUUUGUAGAGAACGAAAAGUCUGUUGAUAAUACCGAUAGAUGAUGACGGUACUCUAAGAAUAAGCACCGGCUAACUACGUGCCAGCAGCCGCGGUAAUACGUAGGGUGCGAGCGUUAAUCGGAAUCACUGGGCGUAAAGGGUGUGCAGGCGGUUUUGCAAGAUGGAUGUGAAAGCCCCGGGCUUAACCUGGGAAAGCCAUACAUGACUGCAAGACUAGAGUGCGUCAGAGGGGGGUGGAAGUCCAAGUAUAGCAGUGAAAUGCGUAGAUAUUUGGAAGAACACCGAUGGCGAAGGCAGCCCCCUGGGACGCAACUGACGCUCAUACACGAAAGCGUGGGGAGCAAACAGGAUUAGAUACCCUUGUAGUC
rnacentral:rRNA from 1 species